UUGACCUCAAAUCAAGUAGGACUACCCGCUGAACUUAAGCAUAUCAAUAA
rnacentral:rRNA from 1 species